rnacentral:lncRNA from 13 species
AUGAAGAACCAUUGCUGGGGAGCUAGUAUGGCCGCUUGGAGGGCCACACGGCAAAAGGACAACAGCCAUUGUCAAGCUAGGACGACAGCCUUCACCAGGAAUCAAAUUGGAUGGCACUUUGAUGUUGAAUGUCUAGCCUCCAGAACUGUGAAAAAUAAAUUUUUGUUGUUUAAGCCACUAAGUCUAUGGUGUUUUGUUAUGGCAGCUCAAGUAGACUUACUAACACUUAGAAUGAAUGCUUUUGGUGAGCAAGGAGUUUCUGUAUUUUUAUGAGUAGGCAUGCAAGGGAGUGUGAAUGAGGACUUUUAAUUUUGGAAAUAUGGGGUAAAAUGAAAUAUUUUUUCUUUGAAAACAAAGAUGGAGUUUAUCCUCAGAAUAUUUAUUUUGUUUAAAAUUUGAGGAAGACAUUGUUAGCAAAACUAAGAGUGAACAUUGACUUAAUUCUAAAGUCAUGUAUGAAUGUUCCCUGAGAACACUGAGGGUAGCCUGAUAGGUGCCAUUUGGUUCUUGAAACAAACCCCAGCAUUACUCCAAACUCUUAUUACCAAAGAAGAUUCUGAAUGAUCAUAAUUACCUUUUGUUCCAGGGUUAGAUUUGGGGGCUGCAGAGCAAGGCUGCCAGAGAGAUAUAAUUGUGUUGAAGACCUAAAAGUGUUACUGGUUUAAGUUAUAGUUACCAGUACAGAGAUGAUUAUUAUUAACAACUGUUAAAAAAAAACUCUUCAGAAAGAAUCUCAAAUGACACAGAGAAAAUUUAAAAGUAUUUAGAUGGAGUUUUGUAAUAAGCUAUUUAAAAUACAAUAUAACAUAGUCAUUGAUACAACACAUUUAAGAUAAGUACUUUUUAAUGUUUUAUGUAUUUUUCCAGUGACCCACUUAACAUUUUAUUAAUUCAUAAGUACUAUAAUAUAGCUUUUAAAAUAGCUGUGAUUGAACAUUUCAGUACCCAUUAAAAUGGUAAGUACUUGAUUCUUGAAAAUGAUAGUUAAAAAAUAAGCAAGUAUUUUAUUAGUUUUAA